AAUAUUGCGCAAUGGGGGGAACCCUGACGCAGCAACGCCGCGUGAGUGACGAAGGUUNNNGGAUCNUCAAGCUCUGUCAUCGGNGACNAAUUUAUGACGGUACCCAAGAAGGAAGCCCCGGCUAACUACGUGCCAGCAGCCGCGGUAAUACGUAGGGGGCGAGCGUUGUCCGGAAUUACUGGGGGUAAAGGGUGCGUAGGCGGCUAUAUAAGUCAGAUGUGAAAUACCAGGGCUUAACUCUGGGGGUGCAUUUGAAACUGUGUAGCUUGAGUGCAGGAGAGGAAAGUGGAAUUCCUAGUGUAGCGGUGAAAUGCGUAGAGAUUAGGAGGAACACCAGUGGCGAAGGCGACUUUCUGGACUGUAACUGACGCUGAUGCACGAAAGCGUGGGGAGCAAACA
rnacentral:rRNA from 1 species